rnacentral:rRNA from 1 species
GUGGGGAAUAUUGGACAAUGGGCGAAAGCCUGAUCCAGCAAUGCCGCGUGAGUGAAGAAGGCCUUAGGGUUGUAAAGCUCUUUCACCCGUGAAGAUGAUGACGGUAGCGGGAGAAGAAGCCCCGGCUAACUCCGUGCCAGCAGCCGCGGUAAUACGGAGGGGGCUAGCGUUGUUCGGAAUUACUGGGCGUAAAGCGCACGUAGGCGGUCGACAUAGUUAGAGGUGAAAGGCCUGGGCUUAACCUGGGAACUGCCUUUAAUACUGGUCGGCUUGAGUCCGUGAGAGGGUAGUGGAAUUCCCAGUGUAGAGGUGAAAUUCGUAGAUAUUGGGAAGAACACCAGUGGCGAAGGCGGCUACCUGGCACGGUACUGACGCUGAGGUGCGAAAGCGUGGGGAGCAAACAGGAUUAGAUACCCGAGUAGUCC